CGGGACACGUGGUAUCCUGUCUGAAUAUGGGGGGACCAUCCUCCAAGGCUAAAUACUCCUGACUGACCGAUAGUGAACCAGUACCGUGAGGGAAAGGCGAAAAGAACCCCGGCGAGGGGAGUGAAAAAGAACCUGAAACCGUGUACGUACAAGCAGUGGGAGCCUCUUUAUGGGGUGACUGCGUACCUUUUGUAUAAUGGGUCAGCGACUUAUAUUCUGUAGCAAGGUUAACCGAAUAGGGGAGCCGAAGGGAAACCGAGUCUUAACUGGGCGUUAAGUUGCAGGGUAUAGACCCGAAACCCGGUGAUCUAGCCAUGGGCAGGUUGAAGGUUGGGUAACACUAACUGGAGGACCGAACCGACUAAUGUUGAAAAAUUAGCGGAUGACUUGUGGCUGGGGGUGAAAGGCCAAUCAAACCGGGAGAUAGCUGGUUCUCCCCGAAAGCUAUUUAGGUAGCGCCUCGUGAAUUCAUCUCCGGGGGUAGAGCACUGUUUCGGCAAGGGGGUCAUCCCGACUUACCAACCCGAUGCAAACUGCGAAUACCGGAGAAUGUUAUCACGGGAGACACACGGCGGGUGCUAACGUCCGUCGUGAAGAGGGAAACAACCCAGACCGCCAGCUAAGGUCCCAAAGUCAUGGUUAAGUGGGAAACGAUGUGGGAAGGCCCAGACAGCCAGGAUGUUGGCUUAGAAGCAGCCAUCAUUUAAAGAAAGCGUAAUAGCUCACUGGUCGAGUCGGCCUGCGCGGAAGAUGUAACGGGGCUAAACCA
rnacentral:rRNA from 1 species